UACGAAGGGGGCGAGCGUUAUUCGGAUUUAUUGGGCGUAAAGGGCGUGUAGGCGGCUGGGGAAGUCCGGUGUAAAAACGCUGCCGCUCAACGGAGCGAUGCCGCUGGAAACUCCCCAACUUGAGAGACGUAGAGGUGAGCAGAAUACCUGGUGUAGCGGUGGAAUGCUUAGAGAUCAGGUAGAAUACCCGAGGCGAAGGCGGCUCACUGGACGUUUUCUGACGCUAAGGCGCGAAAGCGUGGGGAUCAAA
rnacentral:rRNA from 1 species